rnacentral:rRNA from 1 species
AUACGGAGGGGGCUAGCGUUGUUCGGAAUUACUGGGCGUAAAGCGCGCGUAGGCGGGCUGGUUAGUUGGGGGUGAAAUCCCAGGGCUCAACCCUGGAACUGCCCUCAAUACUGCCAGUCUUGAGUUCGAGAGAGGUAAGUGGAAUUCCUAGUGUAGAGGUGAAAUUCGUAGAUAUUAGGAAGAACACCAGUGGCGAAGGCGGCUUACUGGCUCGAUACUGACGCUGAGGCGCGAAAGCGUGGGGAGCAAACAGGAUUAGAAACCCCUGGUAGUCC